rnacentral:rRNA from 1 species
CACCGCGGUUAUACGAGAGGCCCAAGUUGACAGACCACGGCGUAAAGAGUGGUCAGGGAAACUUUUAAACUAAAGCCGAACAUCCUCACAGCAGUCCAAAGCUUCCGAGUUAAGAAGUCCAACCACGAAAGUAGCUUUAAACAACCUGACUCCACGAAAGCUGAGGCA